rnacentral:rRNA from 1 species
UACAGAGGGUGCAAGCGUUAAUCGGAAUUACUGGGCGUAAAGCGUGCGUAGACGGUUAUGUAAGUCAGGUGUGAAAGCCCAGGGCUCAACCUUGGAAUUGCAUUUGAGACUGCAUAGCUGGGGUGCGGAAGAGGGAAGCGGAAUUUCCGGUGUAGCGGUGAAAUGCGUAGAUAUCGGAAGGAACACCAGUGGCGAAAGCGGCUUCCUGGUCCAGCACCGACGUUCAGGCACGAAAGCGUGGGGAGCAAACAGG